rnacentral:rRNA from 1 species
GAUGAACGCUGGCGGCGUGCUUAACACAUGCAAGUCGAACGGUGAACACGGAACUUGCAUGGGAUCAGUGGCGAACGGGUGAGUAACACGUGAGCAACCUGCCCCUGACUCUGGGAUAAGCGCUGGAAACGGCGUCUAAUACUGGAUAUGUGACGUGACCGCAUGGUCUGCGUCUGGAAAGAAUUUCGGUUGGGGAUGGG